GGAAGCGUGUCGUAACCGGUGUUGCGCCUGGUCUUCAAAACCAGUGACAGACUGAAAAGUUUGUGGCAGGUUCGACUCCUGUACGUUUCCGCCA
rnacentral:tRNA from 1 species